rnacentral:rRNA from 1 species
ACACCGGCAGCUCAAGUGGUAGCCGCUUUUAUUGGGCCUAAAGCGUCCGUAGCCGGUCUGAUAAGUCUCUCGUGAAAUCCCACAGCUUAACUGUGGGAAUUGCUGGAGAUACUAUCAUGACUCGAGGUCGGGAGAGGCUGGAGGUACUCCCAGGGUAGGGGUGAAAUCCUGUAAUCCUGGGAGGACCACCUGUGGCGAAGGCGUCCAGCUGGAACGAACCUGACGGUGAGGGACGAAAGCCAGGGGCGCGAACCGGAUUAGAUACCCGGGUAGUCCUGGCCGUAAACGAUGUGGACUUGGUGUUGGGAUGGCUUCGAGCUGCCCCAGUGCCGAAGGGAAGCUGUUAAGUCCACCGCCUGGGAAGUACGGCCGCAAGGCUGAAACUUAAAGGAAUUGACGGGG